AUUUUUACCACAGCCAACUCACCACAAUUGCAAAUGGGGAUUAUCCCUACCCCCAUUGAACCCCCACCAAGUGUCAAAUUAGAACUUCGGUUGCCGGAGCUAUUGCAAAAAGAAGAAGAACAUUGUGAACGAGACAUGGCUCAUCAACUAUGAAGAUUGGGAGCUAUUGCAAAAAGAAGAAGAACCCUAAACCUAAUUUCACUCUCUGCUCAUAAAUUGGGGUACCCUAGAAUCCCUAAAUUAUUUUUCANAAAUGCAAUCCCUAAUUCUAAUUAUUUUUCAAAUUAGAAUUUCAAAAUCACUAAACGGACUCCACAUGGGCUGACAAAUGCCACAUCACCACACUGUUUGGCACUGUUGGAACUGUUUGGCACUGUUGGAAGGUCUUUCGUUACCAAUUUAAACGCCGUCUGU
rnacentral:lncRNA from 1 species